GGAUGAACGUUGGCGGCGUGCCUAACACAUGCAAGUCGAACGCUGGUAGCAAUAUCAGAGUGGCGCACGGGUGAGUAACACGUAGCUUACCUACCUCAAAGCGCGGGAUAACGUUCCGAAAGGAAUGCUAAUACCGCAUAAGCUCGCGGUCUGUAGAGGGCUGAGAGAAAAGGGGCAACUCACUUUGAGAUGGGGCUGCGGCCCAUCAGCUGGUUGGUGAGGAACGGCUUACCAAGGCAACGACGGGUAGGGGACCUGAGAGGGUCGACCCCCCANACUGGGACUGAGACACGGCCCAGACUCCUACGGGAGGCAGCAGUGAGGGAUAUUGCACAAUGGGCGCAAGCCUGAUGCAGCGACGCCGC
rnacentral:rRNA from 1 species